AAAGGGCUGUAACCACUAAAGGCU
rnacentral:piRNA from 1 species